UUGGAGGGCAAGUCUGGUGCCAGCAGCCGCGGUAAUUCCAGCUCCAAUAGCGUAUAUUAAAGUUGUUGCAGUUAAAAAGCUCGUAGUUGAAUUUCGGGAUUGACGUGAUGGUCGUGCCUUACGGGGUAUGAACUGUUGUUGUUGAUUUCUCACCUUCUGGAGAAACUUGAUGUCCUUAAUUGGGUGUCUUGCGGAUCCAGGACCUUUACCUUGAAAAAAUUAGAGUGUUUAGAGCAGGCAUUUUUGCUCGAAUACAUUAGCAUGGAAUAAUAGAAUAGGACGGCAUGGUUCUAUUUUGUUGGUUUCUAGGAUCACCGUAAUGAUUAAUAGGGAUAGUUGGGGGCAUUAGUAUUCAAUUGUCAGAGGUGAAAUUCUUGGAUUUAUUGAAGACUAACUACUGCGAAAGCAUUUGCCAAGGAUGUUUUCAUUAAUCAAGAACGAAAGUUAGGGGAUCGAAGACGAUCAGAUACCGUCGUAGUCUUAACCAUAAACUAUGCCGACUAGGAAUCAGACGAUGUUAAUUUUUUAAUGACUCGUUUGGCACCUUACGGGAAACCAAAGUGUUUGGGUUC
rnacentral:rRNA from 1 species